GACUGUAACAACACAACUUCUCUGACCCGAGACUCUAUACUCUUCAGAGUAGGGGUGAAGGUACGUCAGCAACAGACAAGGAAUCAUGAAGAGACCCCGGGGAGCUCUGCUGGGGCUUCUGUGGGUGCAAGUUUGCUGGGUGAGAGGGGUGGAGGUGGAGCAGAGACCUCCAGUCCUGAGCGUCCAGGAGGGAGCCAGCUCUACUCUGAGCUGCAACUUUUCCAGCUCAGUGAAUAAUGUGCAGUGGUUCCGGCAGAACCCUGGGGGCGGCGGCCUCACGCGGCUGUUUUACAUCGCGUCAGGGAUGAAGCAGGACGGGAGGUUAGAAUGCACACUGAACAGUAAGGAGCGGCACAGCAGCCUGCAUGUCAGGGCCUUCAGGCAGGAAGACUCAGCCACCUACCUGUGUGCGGUGGAGGCACAGUGCUCCCUGCUGCCCUGCAGCCUGUCCCCAAACUGCAUUUGGGCUCACAGCCCAGACUUCUCACGGGACAGGCAUUUAUUUGCCCCCAGAGGAUCUUCUGCACAUUUUCAUAUUUAUGUUACAGCACUUUUUUCCCUCCUAAAAGUAGACCCAUCAGGACUAUCAUUUCACAUUUGCUUUUCUUACUCUUUUUCUUCUCAGAAAACGCUUUCCAGGUAAAAAGUUCUAUCAUGGAACCAUGGAGAAGCCAGCAUCCAAUGACUUAUUAAAAUGUAUCUCCUGGCAGCUAGCAUAUAAAUUAUAUGUAAAUUACUCAGCUGGAAACGACUUGAAAACAUAUAUGGUCAUCACCCCACAGAAAAAGAUGAUCAAGUUUUUCAGUUUCCUGUAGAUGGUUCUUUUUCAAAGAAAAUUGAACAGA